GAUGAACGCUGGCGGCGUGCCUAAUACAUGCCAGUCGAGCGAACAGACGAGGAGCUUGCUCCUCUUACGUUAGCGGCGGACGGGUGAGUAACACGUGGAUAACCUACCUAUAAGACUGGGAUAACUUCUGGAAACCGGAGCUAAUACCGGAUAACAUGUUUAACCGCAUGGUUCAACAGUGAAAGACGGUCUUGCUGUCACUUAUAGAUGUAUCCGCGCCGCAUUAGCUAGUUGGUAAGGUAACGGCUUACCAAGGCAACAAUGAGUAGCCGACCGGAGAGGGUGAUAGGCCAAAAUGGAACUGAGAAACGGUCAAGACUCCUACGGGAGGAAGAAGUAGGGAAUUUUCGGCAAUGGGCGAAAGCCUGACGGAGCAACGCGGCGUGAGUGAAGAAGGUCUUGGGACCGUAAAACUCUGUUAUUAGGGAAGAACAAAUGUGUAAGUAACUAUGCACGUAUUGACGGUAACUAAUCAGAAAGCCACGGCUAACUACGUG
rnacentral:rRNA from 1 species